UUCAAACUGCAAACAUACUUGGACGUCACUUCUCUGAUUGGUCAAUUUGUACUUAAUUUGCAUGAGUAGGUGAGGCCAUAAUACUUCAAUACUGAGCGUAUUUUACCCUAAUGGCUGAGGUCCGAUGGUACAGCUCAAAAGAAAAGCUUUUAAAUGGAUUGCAUGUGUAUCUGGAUUUGGAUCUGCAUCGGAGUAAAGUUAAAGGUUUAUAUAUCUUCCCUGAAAAGAAACAAGACCAACCACGAGAAAUCCCACCUGUCCCAGCCCCGAGGAUGUCACUUCCUGUGAACCACCUAUAAAAACCCCUCAUCCUCCAUACUUAAACAGUUCUGUUUUGGACUCUAACCUGUACACAUUGUACACAAUGUCUUUUGCAGCCAGGGAAACUGUAUGGGCAGCUGUCCCAAACCUUUGUUGUGUGUCCAGCUAUUUAUUUCAUAAUGGAAAAUUCUGGUUUGAAAGUGGCCCAUCUGUAAGAGUGUCGAAAUGUUAACAGGAUUCACAAAUUCCCACCUAAUGGAAUUUAUUAAAAGUAAAUUAAUAGUGACAUUGUAAACUGCAUUGAUAGAAGAAAAUUAUUAUCCAGUGUAGUUAUGCUCUCCCAGUGAAAGGCUUUUCCGUACUUAAACUGACAUGUAAGACCAUGAAUUCCAUUGUGAAUUGUAAGAUGUAAUCAACCAAAUAGUAGUAUUUUUUAUCUGGAAAACAAUCUGGUGCCUAUCACAUACUUUCAGAUGAGUGCCAGAUACUAUUGUGUGUGCCUUGCAUCAUUUCCUGUUGACAAAAAUGCACUGUUAAUAGUUUAUGUUUACAGUUACACUCUUAAUUCUUUAAGUUUUUAUAUAGUGCUUUUCUCACUAAUAAAAGCACUUUACAUAGUGAGAGGGGAGGAGCCACUUCAACCACCAAUAAUAUGCAGCAUCCACCUGGAUGAUGCUACAGCAGCCAUUUUGCUCCAGUACGCUCACCACACAUUACCUGUUGAAGGGGUGAGAGAUAAGGUAAGAGGCAGGGGAAGAUUAGGGAGGCCAGAAUGACUAGUCUGUUAUGAACAAUAUAGCUAGGACAUCAGGAUACACCCUACUCUUUACGAUGGAUGCUCCAGGAUCUUUUAUUACCACAGAGUGUUGGGAUUUCAGUUUUAUGUCUCAUGCAAAGGACAGUGUCAUUUUUACAGCACACUGCAUUGGGGGCAUUGGGAUCCACAUUCAGACAACAUGGUAAGUGCCCCCUGCUGGCUUCGCCAAUACUUCUUUCAGGAGCAUCCCAAGCUUUUCAUGGUUGGUUUCCCCUCCAAUUACUGGCUGUGCUUAAACAUACUAUACAAACAUGAAUAUUUAUAACUUUAAAAAAAAAUACAUUCAAUCCCAGGUUGCUGGGUCUGCAAAGCAGCAGCACUAAUCACUGCACCAUUGUGUAGUAAAAGGUAAUUAAUUUGGUUAGCUAGCUACUUGCAGCCAGCUUUUUAUUCAUACACCAUAUGAGCACCAUUCAUACUCCAUAUUUUCAUUGCAUGUGAAUUGUUGCCCUGUCCAGUGCAGGCACACUAAUUUACGGGCACACUCAGUAUUCAACAGGAGCAGACUGUGAAGAUUACAAUGCACUCCAAGGGGUUAAAUAACAUUGGGCCAUUGUAAUUGUCAAUAUUUUGUAAUAUGAGCUGUGUUCAUGUUAAAAUAAGACAAAAUCUACAGCUUCAAAUUUGAAUAUCCUGGUCAAUUCCACUGGCACACUGGGUCAACCCCUGCUCUGUACAGAGUAAACUGUGAUAUUGAAUGGGCAUAUUGUAAAUGUCGUAGACUGCCGUGUGCUUUGAAAAGUGAUUUUAUUACCUUUUAGUACAUGGUAGUGCAGUGGUUAGCAUUGCUGCCUUGUGGAUACAACAACCUGGAUUUGAAUGUAUGCAAUUAUAAACAUGCCAAUAUUCAUUAUUGUAGAGUGUAACUGUGUGCAUAUUAUCAAACUGUUAAACAUUGAUUUAGAGGAGCAUGUGAUGGUACUGGUGCUUAUCAGAAAGUCUAUGGUAUGUACCACAUUUCUCUCCAGGAAGAAAAUAUUCCUCAGUGUCCCCUCAUGCGCUCCAUUAUUAAAUAUUAGCAAACCUGAUUAAUCUAAUUCAGCUUUAUGGGAGGAGCCUGAAUCUAUCUUGUCAGAAAUGAGUGCAAAGCAGAUAACACCACCAUGCAAGCUGCCAGUCCGUCAGAGGGCACACUUUAGUGUCAACAGAUACUCUACCCUGCAAGUCUUUCUGAUGUGGAUGGAAACUCUGGAUCUGAUCUUCUCAGAACGUGCAAGCUCCACUUGAACUGCGGCUAUGUGCGGGAUUCAAACAACACAGUGAAUCUGUGAGGUGGUGAUAUAAACCACUGCACCACUGUGUCACUGUAUAGUUAGAUAUUAAAAAAAAAAAAACUUUAUAUGUAUCAUUAUAUCCACUGUUGAUAUUUGUUUUUGAUUUAGAAUACAGUUGGAUGGAGGCAGAUUUUUGUUUUAUUAUUGGGUGAAGCUACAUCAUUAGCCAAGUGAUUAUGAAAUGUCUAAAUUAGUUAAUGAAGCUUUGGAGCAAUUGCUGCAAUUAUUAUGUUAUGAAACGUUCUAAUAAAGUAACAUUUUUGACAUA